AAUUUUUCAGAAUGAAUGGUAUGGAGAAACUAACAUUAGUGUGCUGCCUUUCAGAAGGGAGGAAGAAAUGCUUUGGGCUAUCUAUAUGCUUAAUCCUUCUAGGGUGCAGAGUUUUGCAACGGAGAAUCAAAUGUCCAGGAUAGAUGAGAGGAAUUCCAUUCUGUCCUUUUCUUUCCAUUGGCUACAAAGAGAGUGUAGGGUGACCUAUUCAGACAUAGAAAUGUAAGUAAGCCCUGCUCAUCUAUUGAAGAGUGAAAAUCAGAAGAUUAGAAGUCGCUUGGAUGUUAAUCUAAUGUGUUAAUAUUUCUACUGUUUAGCAGCUGAAACAGUUAUUAUUGCAAAAGACUGUGUACUCUUGUUUAAUAUGCCAGGGUCUUAGAAUUAGGGCUAGUGUUCUUGGGAAAUAAAGCAAAAGAAUUAUUCACCUUA